rnacentral:rRNA from 1 species
GACGAACGCUGUCGGCGUGCUUAACACAUGCAAGUCGAACGGAAAGGCCCUGCUUUUGUGGGGUGCUCGAGUGGCGAACGGGUGAGUAACACGUGAGUAACCUGCCCUUGACUUUGGGAUAACUUCAGGAAACUGGGGCUAAUACCGGAUAGGAGCUCCUGCUGCAUGGUGGGGGUUGGAAAGUUUCGGCGGUUGGGGAUGGACUCGCGGCUUAUCAGCUUGUUGGUGGGGUAGUGGCUUACCAAGGCUUUGACGGGUAGCCGGCCUGAGAGGGUGACCGGCCACAUUGGGACUGAGAUACGGCCCAGACUCCUACGGGAGGCAGCAGUGGGGAAUAUUGCACAAUGGGCGGAAGCCUGAUGCAGCAACGCCGCGUGCGGGAUGACGGCCUUCGGGUUGUAACCCGCUUUCGCCUGUGACGAAGCGUGAGUGACGGUAAUGGGUAAAGAAGCACCGGCUAACUACGUGCCAGCAGCCGCGGUGAUACGUAGGGUGCGAGCGUUGUCCGGAUUUAUUGGGCGUAAAGGGCUCGUAGGUGGUUGAUCGCGUCGGAAGUGUAAUCUUGGGGCUUAACCCUGAGCGUGCUUUCGAUACGGGUUGACUUGAGGAAGGUAGGGGAGAAUGGAAUUCCUGGUGGAGCGGUGGAAUGCGCAGAUAUCAGGAGGAACACCAGUGGCGAAGGCGGUUCUCUGGGCCUUUCCUGACGCUGAGGAGCGAAAGCGUGGGGAGCGAACAGGCUUAGAUACCCUGGUAGUCCACGCUGUAAACGGUGGGUACUAGGUGUGGGGUCCAUUCCACGGGUUCCGUGCCGUAGCUAACGCUUUAAGUACCCCGCCUGGGGAGUACGGCCGCAAGGCUAAAACUCAAAGGAAUUGACGGGGCCCCGCACAAGCGGCGGAGCAUGCGGAUUAAUUCGAUGCAACGCGUAGAACCUUACCUGGGUUUGACAUGGAUCGGGAGUGCUCAGAGAUGGGUGUGCCUCUUUUGGGGUCGGUUCACAGGUGGUGCAUGCCUGUCGUCAGCUCGUGUCGUGAGAUGUUGGGUUAAGUCCCGCAACGAGCGCAACCCUUGUUCACUGUUGCCAGCACGUUAUGGUGGGGACUCAGUGGAGACCGCCGGGGUCAACUCGGAGGAAGGUGGGGAUGACGUCAAGUCCUCAUGCCCCUUAUGUCCAGGGCUUCACGCAUGCUACAAUGGCUGGUACAGAGAGUGGCGAGCCUGUGAGGGUGAGCGAAUCUCGGAAAGCCGGUCUCAGUUCGGAUUGGGGUCUGCAACUCGACCUCAUGAAGCCGGAGUCGCUAGUAAUCGCAGAUCAGCAACGCUGCGGUGAAUACGUUCCCGGGGCU